AGUUAGUGUUUGUGGCAAGUCUAAGCCCCUCUGGGGCCGAGGCGAAGCGAAAGCGAGUCCGAAAUGGGCGACAAGCUGCGGGCACUAGACCCGAAGCCGAGGUGAUCUACCUAUGGCCAGGUUGAAGCGACAGUAACAUGUCGUGAAGGACCGAACCGAUGGGCGUUGAAAAGCCCCCGGAUGAGCUGUAGGUAGGAGCGAAAGACUAAUCAAACCCGGUGAUAGCUGGUUCUCCCCGAAAUCUAUUGAGGUAGAGCCUCGUGUGCUGACCUGCGGAGGUAGAGCACUGGAUGAACUAGGGCCCAUACCCGGGUACCGAAUUCAAUCAAACUCCGAAUGCCGCAGGGCGUAACACGGGAGGCAGAAUGCGAGGGAUAAGCUUCGUAUUCGAGAGGGAAACAACCCAGACCAGCAGCUAAGGUGCCUAAAUUGUGCUAAGUGGAAAGGAUGUGGAGUUACUUAAACAGUGAGGAUGUUGGCUUAGAGGCAGCCAUCAUUUAAACAGUGCGUAAUAGCUGACUCAUCGAGUGAUUCUGCGCCGAUAAUGAUUGGCGAUAAGCAUAAUACCGAAGCUCUGGAUUCAUAGUAAUAUGAGUGGUAGGGGAGCGUUCCCAUUGCAUUGAAGCCGUCGGGUAACCGCACGGUGGAGUGAUGGGAAGUGAGGAUGCAGACAUGAGUAGCGAUAAGACAGGUGAAAUCCCUGUCCGCCGUAAACCCAAGGUUUCCUGGGGAAGGUUCGUCCUCCCAGGGUUAGUCGGGUCCUAAGUCGAGGCCGAUGGGCGUAGACGAUGGUUAGCAGGUUUAAUAUUCCUGCACCUCCGACAUUUAAACCGGUGUGACACGGGUUCGGAAAAGAGCGGGGUGAUGAAUGUCCCCGUCGCGCAAGCGGAUGUGGCGGCUUCGGCCAAAGCAGAUUCUUUAAAGAAUCCGUCAAGAAAAACGCCGGUGUAUACUAAGGAGCCCGUACCGUAAACCGACACAGGUGGGUGGGCAUAAAUGUGCCAAGGCGCGUGAGUGAAACCUCGUUAAGGAACUCGGCAAUCUAGCCCCGUAACUUCGGAAGAAGGGGUGCCCUCUUCGGAGGGUCGCAGUGAAAUGGGUCAACCGACUGUUUAACAAAAACACAGCACUCUGCUAAGUUUUAUGACGACGUAUAGGGUGUGACACGUGACCAAUGCCGAAAGAUUACGGUAAGAGGUUAGCCGCAAGGCGAAGCUUCGAGCCCAAGUCCCGGUGAAUGUCGGCCGUAACUAUAACGGUCCUAAGGUAGCGAAAUUCCUUGUCGGGUAAGUUCCGACCUGCACGAAUCGUGCAACGAGUUGAUCGCUGUCUCAACCAGGAGCUCAGUGAAGUUGUAGUGCCGGUGAAGAUGCCGGCUACCCGCAGAAGGACGGAAAGACCCUAUGAACCUUAACUGUAAGCUGUCACUGGUUUUUCGGUUUCAAUGCUCAGAGUAAGUGGGAGACUUUGAAGCGGCCCUUCAGGGGGCUGCAGAGUCAUCAAUGAGACACCACCCUUUGAAUUUGGAGAAUCUAACAUCCUGCCCUGAAUCGGGCGGAAGGACAAUGGCAGCCGGUCAGUUUUACUGGGGCGGUAUCCUCCCAAAGUGUAACGGAGGAGCGCGAAGUUUGGCUCAGCGUGGUUGGCAAUCACGUUUCGAGUGUAUAGGCAUAAGCCAGACUAACUGUGAGACGGACAUGUCGAGCAGAUACGAAAGUAGGCCUAAGUGAUCCGGUAGUUGAAUGUGGAAUUGCUAUCGCUCAACGGAUAAAAGGUACUCUAG
rnacentral:rRNA from 1 species